rnacentral:lncRNA from 1 species
UCAAACCGAUUGUUUGGAAAUAAACUAGGACGUGAGUUCAACCUUUCCAUCGAAGGAAUUUGAUUGAAACCUCACAUGUUCAUAGAUCGGGGCGAUUCAAUUUUCGGGGUCUGAAAAGUUGUGUUCUUCACAAGAUUUGGAAUUUCCAUUGUUUAACAAAUCUGAGGGAUGAUUUCUUAGGAGUAGCUUCUCUACUAUCUUGUGAUGCUAUGGUUCAAAUUUCGUGAUUUUUUGAGGUUCUUUGGUCAUGUUUUGGAUUUUUCUUCUCUCCUCACGAAGGCUGAUUUCCGGGAUUCCGAAAAUUUCCGGAACUCUAGAAGUUUACGAAGGUUUCUCCAGAAAUUUCCAAAAGUCCAGAAUUUUCCAAAGGUUCUUCCGGAUUUUUCCGAACUGAGGUGUUGUUUUUCAAAGUCUUUCUUCCGACACUUGUUUGGACUUUUUCUUACUUCCGCUAUUCUCAAAUUGGGUUCCUAGCAUCAUUUCUAGGUCCAUUAGCUCGUGCAUAGCUAAGUGGACUUGAUUUUGCUAGAAGAGAGGUUUGGGGGAGUUUAGCCAAAGUUCUUGGAGAAAAUUUGAAUUGGCUCCCAUUCACCCCCC